GGCUUCGUGAUCAUAGCUCAGAUGGUAGAGUGUCGCACCGAUAACGCGGAGGUCAUGGGUUCAAUUGCCAUUGAAGUUC